GGGGAUUUAGCUCAGUGGUAGAGCGCUUGCCUAGCAAGUGCAAGGCCCUGGGUUCCGUUCCCAGCUCCG
rfam:Rattus norvegicus chromosome 8, whole genome shotgun sequence.